AGCUUUGCGCAGUGGCAGUAUCGUAGCCAAUGAGGUUUAUCCGAGGCGCGAUUAUUGCUAAUUGAAAACUUAAAGAAAAGUAGUCAAUAGA
ensembl:snRNA LOC120098032 U4 spliceosomal RNA